rnacentral:rRNA from 1 species
CCUACGGGGGGCAGCAGUGGGGAAUAUUGGACAAUGGGGGGAACCCUGAUCCAGCCAUGCCGCGUGUGUGAAGAAGGCCCUCGGGUUGUAAAGCACUUUCAGUGAGGAAGAACGCCUGAUGGUUAAUACCCAUCAGGAAAGACAUCACUCACAGAAGAAGCACCGGCUAACUCCGUGCCAGCAGCCGCGGUAAUACGGAGGGUGCGAGCGUUAAUCGGAAUUACUGGGCGUAAAGCGCGCGUAGGUGGCUUGAUAAGCCGGUUGUGAAAGCCCCGGGCUCAACCUGGGAACGGCAUCCGGAACUGUCAAGCUAGAGUGCAGGAGAGGAAGGUAGAAUUCCCGGUGUAGCGGUGAAAUGCGUAGAGAUCGGGAGGAAUACCAGUGGCGAAGGCGGCCUUCUGGACUGACACUGACACUGAGGUGCGAAAGCGUGGGUAGCAAACAGGAUUAGAUACCCGGGUAGUC